rnacentral:rRNA from 1 species
UUAAGCGACUAAGCGUACACGGUGGAUGCCCUGGCAGUCAGAGGCGAUGAAGGACGUGCUAAUCUGCGAUAAGCGUCGGUAAGGUGAUAUGAACCGUUAUAACCGGCGAUUUCCGAAUGGGGAAACCCAGUGUGUUUCGACACACUAUCAUUAACUGAAUCCAUAGGUUAAUGAGGCGAACCGGGGGAACUGAAACAUCUAAGUACCCCGAGGAAAAGAAAUCAACCGAGAUUCCCCCAGUAGCGGCGAGCGAACGGGGAGCAGCCCAGAGCCUGAAUCAGUGUGUGUGUUAGUGGAAGCGUCUGGAAAGGCGCGCGAUACAGGGUGACAGCCCCGUACACAAAAAUGCACAUGCUGUGAGCUCGAUGAGUAGGGCGGGACACGUGGUAUCCUGUCUGAAUAUGGGGGGACCAUCCUCCAAGGCUAAAUACUCCUGACUGACCGAUAGUGAACCAGUACCGUGAGGGAAAGGCGAAAAGAACCCCGGCGAGGGGAGUGAAAAAGAACCUGAAACCGUGUACGUACAAGCAGUGGGAGCACGCUUAGGCGUGUGACUGCGUACCUUUUGUAUAAUGGGUCAGCGACUUAUAUUCUGUAGCAAGGUUAACCGAAUAGGGGAGCCGAAGGGAAACCGAGUCUUAACUGGGCGUUAAGUUGCAGGGUAUAGACCCGAAACCCGGUGAUCUAGCCAUGGGCAGGUUGAAGGUUGGGUAACACUAACUGGAGGACCGAACCGACUAAUGUUGAAAAAUUAGCGGAUGACUUGUGGCUGGGGGUGAAAGGCCAAUCAAACCGGGAGAUAGCUGGUUCUCCCCGAAAGCUAUUUAGGUAGCGCCUCGUGAAUUCAUCUCCGGGGGUAGAGCACUGUUUCGGCAAGGGGGUCAUCCCGACUUACCAACCCGAUGCAAACUGCGAAUACCGGAGAAUGUUAUCACGGGAGACACACGGCGGGUGCUAACGUCCGUCGUGAAGAGGGAAACAACCCAGACCGCCAGCUAAGGUCCCAAAGUCAUGGUUAAGUGGGAAACGAUGUGGGAAGGCCCAGACAGCCAGGAUGUUGGCUUAGAAGCAGCCAUCAUUUAAAGAAAGCGUAAUAGCUCACUGGUCGAGUCGGCCUGCGCGGAAGAUGUAACGGGGCUAAACCAUGCACCGAAGCUGCGGCAGCGACGCUUAUGCGUUGUUGGGUAGGGGAGCGUUCUGUAAGCCUGCGAAGGUGUGCUGUGAGGCAUGCUGGAGGUAUCAGAAGUGCGAAUGCUGACAUAAGUAACGAUAAAGCGGGUGAAAAGCCCGCUCGCCGGAAGACCAAGGGUUCCUGUCCAACGUUAAUCGGGGCAGGGUGAGUCGACCCCUAAGGCGAGGCCGAAAGGCGUAGUCGAUGGGAAACAGGUUAAUAUUCCUGUACUUGGUGUUACUGCGAAGGGGGGACGGAGAAGGCUAUGUUGGCCGGGCGACGGUUGUCCCGGUUUAAGCGUGUAGGCUGGUUUUCCAGGCAAAUCCGGAAAAUCAAGGCUGAGGCGUGAUGACGAGGCACUACGGUGCUGAAGCAACAAAUGCCCUGCUUCCAGGAAAAGCCUCUAAGCAUCAGGUAACAUCAAAUCGUACCCCAAACCGACACAGGUGGUCAGGUAGAGAAUACCAAGGCGCUUGAGAGAACUCGGGUGAAGGAACUAGGCAAAAUGGUGCCGUAACUUCGGGAGAAGGCACGCUGAUAUGUAGGUGAAGUCCCUUGCGGAUGGAGCUGAAAUCAGUCGAAGAUACCAGCUGGCUGCAACUGUUUAUUAAAAACACAGCACUGUGCAAACACGAAAGUGGACGUAUACGGUGUGACGCCUGCCCGGUGCCGGAAGGUUAAUUGAUGGGGUUAGCGGUAACGCGAAGCUCUUGAUCGAAGCCCCGGUAAACGGCGGCCGUAACUAUAACGGUCCUAAGGUAGCGAAAUUCCUUGUCGGGUAAGUUCCGACCUGCACGAAUGGCGUAAUGAUGGCCAGGCUGUCUCCACCCGAGACUCAGUGAAAUUGAACUCGCUGUGAAGAUGCAGUGUACCCGCGGCAAGACGGAAAGACCCCGUGAACCUUUACUAUAGCUUGACACUGAACAUUGAGCCUUGAUGUGUAGGAUAGGUGGGAGGCUUUGAAGUGUGGACGCCAGUCUGCAUGGAGCCGACCUUGAAAUACCACCCUUUAAUGUUUGAUGUUCUAACGUUGACCCGUAAUCCGGGUUGCGGACAGUGUCUGGUGGGUAGUUUGACUGGGGCGGUCUCCUCCUAAAGAGUAACGGAGGAGCACGAAGGUUGGCUAAUCCUGGUCGGACAUCAGGAGGUUAGUGCAAUGGCAUAAGCCAGCUUGACUGCGAGCGUGACGGCGCGAGCAGGUGCGAAAGCAGGUCAUAGUGAUCCGGUGGUUCUGAAUGGAAGGGCCAUCGCUCAACGGAUAAAAGGUACUCCGGGGAUAACAGGCUGAUACCGCCCAAGAGUUCAUAUCGACGGCGGUGUUUGGCACCUCGAUGUCGGCUCAUCACAUCCUGGGGCUGAAGUAGGUCCCAAGGGUAUGGCUGUUCGCCAUUUAAAGUGGUACGCGAGCUGGGUUUAGAACGUCGUGAGACAGUUCGGUCCCUAUCUGCCGUGGGCGCUGGAGAACUGAGGGGGGCUGCUCCUAGUACGAGAGGACCGGAGUGGACGCAUCACUGGUGUUCGGGUUGUCAUGCCAAUGGCACUGCCCGGUAGCUAAAUGCGGAAGAGAUAAGUGCUGAAAGCAUCUAAGCACGAAACUUGCCCCGAGAUGAGUUCUCCCUGACCCUUUAAGGGUCCUGAAGGAACGUUGAAGACGACGACGUUGAUAGGCCGGGUGUGUAAGCGCAGCGAUGCGUUGAGCUAACCGGUACUAAUGAACCGUGAGGCUUAACCU